AAUACCUGUGUUAGGGGGGUGCACAAAGCUGAAUACCUUAUUCAGAAAGGCACGGAUAAUGGCUUCAGAAAAGAAUAACAGAUAACGAAUUAUUAUCUGGCUGCAGCACAGUCUGGUGUUUGCUAGAUUCACAGGUGAGCCAGGGGAUCAGCACAAUCUUUUACACAAACCUCUAAAUUCACUCAGUGAGUGUGUGAAGUGAAUGAACGUAAACUUAAUGAAUGAAAAGAGUGCAAAUCAAACACCGCAUUGCUGUUGCCACUCCUGCAUCUCUCAGAAAUCAGAGCUUGGCAAGAGUAGGCCUAAUAUUACCUAAAAUAUUACAUCAUACAUGUUAGGGGGCAGCUGUGGCCUAAUGGUUAGAGAAUUGGACUUGUAACCAGAAGGUCGCAGGUUCGAGUCUCGGUGCUGGCAGGAGUUGUAGGUGGUAGGGAGUGAAUGAACAGCGCUCUCUUCCACCCUCAAUACCCAUGGCUGAAGCACCCUUGAGCAAGGCACUGAACCCCCAGUUGCUCCCUGGGCGCUGGAUAUAGCUGCCCACUGCUCCGGGUGUGUGUGCACUUGGAUGGGUUAAAUGCAGAGCACCAAUUUCAAGUAUGGGUUACCAUACUUGACAAAUGUCACGACUUUCACUACUUUCACUUUUACUAUUUGUGUAUAUACAGGUGCAUCUCAAUAAAUUAGAAUGUCAUGGAAAAGUUCAUUUAUUUCAGUAAUUCAACUCAAAUUGUGAAACUUGUGUAUUAAAUAAAUUCAGUGCACACAGACUGAAGUAGUUUAAGUCUUUGGUUCUUUUAAUUGUGAUGAUUUUGGCUCACAUUUAACAAAAAUCCACAUCUCAACAAAUUAGAAGAACAAUAAAAAAAAACAUUUUUAGUGAAUUGUUGGCCUUCUGGAAAGUAUGUUCAUUUACUGUACAUGUACUCAAUACUUGGUAGGGGCUCCUUUUGCUUUAAUUACUGCCUCAAUUCACAGUGGCAUGGAGGUGUUCAGUUUGUGGCACUGCUGAGGUGGUAUGGAAGCCCAGGUUUCUUUGACAGUGGCCUUCAGGUCAUCUGCAUUUUUUUUGUUGUUC
ensembl:lncRNA